rnacentral:rRNA from 1 species
GAUGAACGCUGGCGGCGUGCCUAAUACAUGCAAGUCGAGCGAACAGACGAGGAGCUUGCUCCUCUGACGUUAGCGGCGGACGGGUGCGUAACACGUGGAUAACCUACCUAUAAGACUGGGAUAACUUCGGGAAACCGGAGCUAAUACCGGAUAAUAUAUUGAACCGCAUGGUUCAAUAGUGAAAGACGGUUUUGCUGUCACUUAUAGAUGGAUCCGCGCCGCAUUAGCUAGUUGGUAAGGUAACGGCUUACCAAGGCAACGAUGCGUAGCCGACCUGAGAGGGUGAUCGGCCACACUGUAACUGAGACACGUUCCAGACUCCUACGGGAGGCAGCAGUAGGGAAUCUUCCGCAAUGGGCGAAAGCCUGACGGAGCAACGCCACGUGAGUGAUGAAGGUCUUCGGAUCGUAAAACUCUGUUAUUAGGGAAGAACAAAUGUGUAAGUAACUAUGCACGUCUUGACGGUACCUAAUCAGAAAGCCACGGCUAACUACGUG